rnacentral:tRNA from 2 species
GCGCCUGUAGCUCAGUUGGACAGAGCAGCGGCCUUCUAAGCCGCGGGUCGGGGGUUCGAACCCCUCCAGGCGCGCCA